UACGUAGGGUGCAAGCGUUGUCCGGAAUCACUGGGCUUAAAGGGCGCGUAGGCGGGCUCGCAGGUCAGGGGUGAAAGCCCACGGCUCAACCGUGGAAGUGCCUUUGAUACCGUGAGUCUCGAGGGAGGUAGGGGCGUGCGGAACUUCCGGUGGAGCGGUGAAAUGCGUAGAUAUCGGAAGGAACAUCGGUGGCGAAAGCGGCGCGCUGGACCUCUUCUGACGCUGAGGCGCGAAAGCCAGGGGAGCAAACGGG
rnacentral:rRNA from 1 species